CCCCAGGCCUGAGGUCCUGUGCGAUCAUUUGUCAUCCUCAGGUUGGUGACCCCAGCAAGGACAGAUUGGCUGUGCCGGCACGGGCAGAGGCACGUUGCGGGCAGUACUCAGCAGUUUGGUCUUGGUAGGGUCACUUUCCAUCUCUGAGCGUCAAGCCUCCUGGCCUCCAUAUCAGUGCCCCGUGCUGCGGCCGGCCUGGUUCGCGGGCUGCAGGAAGCCCUGUCACUGGCUCCAGCCACUUCCUGGAAGCUCCACGCCCCGCUGUUGGGUGGGCGUCCAGAGGGCUCCAGGAACGCGACCAGGGGUUCUGCCUGUUCCAGAACUUGCUCUGGGUGAGAAAACAGAUGUUCUGGGCUUUGAUUUUCUUCAGGCAAGGUGCUGGCCCCACCCCAAAGUCUUCGCAGGGGGCUGUGUGAGCUGGGUGGUUAGGGCGGCCCUUUCGAGUUUCAAUGUGCAAACGAGGUGGGUGACUGUGGGCUGGGGGGUUUCCUGGAGGGAGCCCAGGACCCUGCGACACCAGGGCUGUUGCAGCUCUUAAGUGCCCGGCUGCAAGUAGCUGAGCCCCACAGGGCACCCUGGGACAUGACUCACUCUGCAGGCCCUGUCGAGCUCCAGGCGGCCCCGGCCUUCCUGGCCUCCUCCCAUGGGCUCGCCUGGACCCUCCUCUGGUAGCACAUCUGGAACCCAGAGGCAGCGGUUUCAGGGGCCCCAGGCACAGCUCCUGUCCCAGCCAGCCUUGCUGCUCCUUUGUCCCUUUGCUCAGACCCAGCUGCUGGGGGAACAGAGCCUCCCUGGGGGGUUAGCGAAGCCUGGUCCAGCCCAGGAGCCUUUUGGUUUGUAUUUCUCAAGUCCUUGAAACCUUACAGAAGAAAAUGAAGGAAGGGAGUGGGGUGGAGAGAGAGAGGGAGGGAUGGAAACUUGGGCUUUGGCAAAAGAGCUGCCCUGGGAUUUUCUCCUUUUCUUCUCUUGCUUGCUUUCCCCAGCCGUGAACUUACCAGGCUUUGAGAUGAAAGGACAGGGGCCCCUCUAGCUGUCAGAAGGCCUGUGUGGGAGCAGCGAGCCCGCGGGGCCCCGGCCUCCUGCUCUUUGUCCUGGAGGACCGUCCAGUUAGGACACACUGGCAAGGCCUGGGGUGUCCACGUGUGCACCUCACACAGCCCACCCACCGGCCCGAGCAUCUCCAUACCCGCCUCACUGCUACUCCCAAGAAUCAGAGGAGGAAGAGGAAGGAGACAGGUGCCCACCGUGCUCCCACCUUGUCUUCUUCCCACGGCCCAUUAGUCUCUGACAUAAAUUUUGUUUUGAAAGAUGUAUUUAUUUAUUUGAAGGCAGAGAGAGAGAGAGAGAGAGAAUCUUCCAUCUGCUGGUUCACUCCCUUGAUGGUCAAAAUGGCCGGAGCUGUGCCAAUCUGAAGCCAGCAGCUUCUUCCAGGUCUUCCAUGUGGGUACAGGGGACCAAGCACUUGGGCCAUGUUCUACUGCUAUCCCAGGCCAUAGUAGAGAGCUGGAUCAGAAGAGGAGCAGCCUGGACUAGAACCGGCACCCAUAUGGGAUGCCGGCGCUUCAGGCCAGGGCUUUAACCUGCAUCCCCAACAUCAAUUUUUAAAAAAGAUUUAUUUAUUCAAAAGGCAAAGUGACAGAGCUAGAGCUAGAGACAGAGACGGCGAUAAGAUGGAUACAGGGAGGGAGUCUCGCACCACAAGCUGGGAAGAGAGCACAGGGCAAGCCCCGGGGUGCUCUCCGCCAGCCACCCUGAGCCCAGACCGCGGAGGAGCCCUCUGGAGUCCGGCAGCAACUCUCUCUCCUCAUCCCCAACCAUGAGCUGCUUGCUGCUUCUAGUGAGCAAAGCAGAUUUCCUCGGAAGGUGUCUGCUGGGACAGAGAUGCCGGCACGUGCUGCCCUCCCAUGCUGUCCCCUCCGGCCCCGCAGAGCCCCAGGAGGGCUCCGGAAUGUUCUUCGAGUCCUUUCCCUCUCGUUUGUCAUCCAACAGCAGAGAGGUGCUGGAAGGGUCAGCUUGUGGCAUAGCUGCCCCGGCUACGUGUGGCGUCCCCCUGGUCUGCCCAGGGCGGGGGCCAGGAGUCCCCGCCAGGAAGCACGCUAGGCAGUUGCCCAGAGUGGUGAUGUGAGCUGCCCGGAGUCACACAGCGCCUCCUGCCCCCAACCCGGCUUUGCUUUCAUUGCCUUCCUUCCAGGGGCCGCUGCGGCUCGUUUCACACCGAGCAGCGGGAGCAGCAACCGCGGCACACGCGGAGGGAAGCAAAGCUGGGGGCUGGACGCGGUGGGGAGGGGGAGGCUGAGCGCAUUCUUGUCCCCCCCACCCCGGUGGGGCAGCAGCGGCUUCCCAGCUACUUGGGGGCAUGGGAGAAGGGUGGGCGGCAGAAGGCGCCGGGGGUCUGGAACCUGGCUUUCACCACAGGCGGUGAGCAGCCAGUGCCUAAUGACUCCAAGCUGUUCUGGAACAUUCUCGCAGCUCCGGGGAGCUGCCGGGGGAGUCUGGCUGCCGUUCACAGCAGCUGUGCGAGCUGCCUGCCGGCAGUAAGCCCAGCCACCAGGGACCACUAGUGACCACAGCCCCGGGGCCACGGCAGCAGGAGGACAGGACAGAGGCUCCUUCCUUCCCGCACACUGACAGGCCCGACAGCAGGGCUGUGCGGAGGGACAGACUCCUGUCUGCGCAUGCCCCCGCCCCUUCCUCUGGGUAACAGCUGAGUGCUGCGGCCAACGUGCUACUGUGUGACCUCGGACAACUGACUUCACCUCUGAGGCACGCAUCUCCCUCGCGGCGUUACGGUGAGGAAGACACGAGCAAAGACUCAGCCAGGAACCAGGAUGCUUGCUGGGAUCACCACGGUCAGCCCCCAGCUCCCUCUGGCCUCUCUUCAGCCCACACUCCCUGGUCCCCUGUCUGCCCUUGUCUCCUGGUGUCACGCAGAAGACGGGCAAGGCCAAGGUCUUGGUCUGUCGGCAGAGAUGCUGAUCCUCCGUGGAAGCAGACAGUGCAUUCCUCACACGGAUGGUGGCAGGAAAGGCAGCCAAAGAUACCAUCUCCUGGCUCCUUGUCCCGUGCACCAAGAACAACACCAAAACAAAGGGGCCUUCAAGGGCUGGCACAUGUGCAACACGGCUGCUGGGGGCCAGCACCAGGUCAUGGUGGAGUAGUUGGGCCCCCCUUGCAACCCGGGAAGAGGAGCAGGGAGGGGAGUGGGAGCUGGUCUCUCAGUGGCUCCUCAUGGCCUCCCAGCUCUGGGGUUCUGGGGGGAUCCCAAGGUACUCUGCCAAGAGCUAGAUGGGCUGGGGCUCCGGCCCUGGCCUGCGUGGCCCGGGUGCCCCAGCAGAGCCCCUCUCCUAUGCUGGCUUCCUCAGCCUCUCUUUCUCCCGCAGCAAUGCAGCCCCGCCAGGAGCCAACAGGAGAAGCCCCCGGGAGCCAGACUUGGCCAAAGCCCUCUCUGUAGUACCGGGCCAGUAACGGUGAUGAUGUGUGUGAGCAUGCUCCGGCCAAGCCUUUAUGUGCGUUCAAUUCAACAAACUCCAAACAGCGCGGCUGCUGUCCCGGCUCCCUUCACACAGGACCCCGGGCGCCAGAGAGCGUAACUGGCCAGGAAGGUCUGCCCUCUGGGUACCGGCACCCACCCGCCGUGGGCUCUGACCUCUGCACACAGCAGGCGCUAUGAGACAGUCACCAAGUGGCUCACGUGGUGCCCAGCUUGGCAGCGCUGAGUGGUGGCACAAGGAGGAGACAAGAGGACAUCCUUAAGGAAAGGGAGCUGCACUUCCGGGAACAGGAUCCUGCACAUCACCGCCACCAUCACCUUCACAACCAUCAUAUGUGUAAUCACAACAGAAGUGCCAGAUCCCGUCUGCUCCCCAUUUUCUGCAAGCAAGGACGCAUUAAACACUGUAUCUUCCUGCUCGAGUCUCACAACGCUUCCGUUCCUGGUGCUGUCACGGCCACUCCCAUUCUCCAGUUGAAAAGAUUCACAGAAGCUGUAUUUGGUGGCGAUCGCAGCACUCCCAGCCGGUAGAGGCAGGAUGCAAAUGCACAUCUGUUGGACCCCACACGCCCUGCUUUUAAUCCCCAUACUGAUCACCACGGAGGACCCACACACAGCCAGAGGCCACCUCCCAACGCUGCUUCCCAUAGCCUCCAUGGCAGAGCCACCUGCCGGGAAGCCCUGAGCCCAAUCUGCUAGCAGAAACCGUGCCCCAACUCUGAUAACACAGACACAGCCUUGGAGAGGGCCAUUUGGCAGAAGCUAGCGAAAAUAAAACAUGUCACCCUCCACGAUGCAGCUGCUCUCCUUCCACAGGGGCACACGGGAACACAUGUGCAAAUGUUUGCAUCAGACGACCUGUGGGCACGCGGGACACACACGUGUGCAGAUGUAUACGCGGUACGCACCCACAGAUGUUCCUAGCGGGGGACCUACGUGUUGCUUGUCAGCGGGGGAUGGUUACAUAAGCCCUGUGCCUCUGCAAGGUGGCUGAGACAGCUGCGAGGAUGAAUGGGGCAGACAUAUGUGAGCCGACGUGGGACGAUCUCCAAGACACAUGGCGAGCAGGAGAAAGCAAGCUGCAGAACACUAUGUGAGGUGUGUAUAUAAAACGCCCAAAACAAAUCCAAAUGAUAUAUAGGUGUAAAUAACCACCGGGAAGACGGACCACAACCAGGAUCCUGCGCUGUAAACAGGAGCUCCCCCCGGGAGGGCCCAGGCGCGGAGAGUAGAGGGGAAGGAGAUGCGUACGGCUCCAGCUCUCUGCGCGGGUGUGGAUCUGCUCGUCCUAAUGAGAACAGGGUUCAUCAUUCGCUUUUGGAACUAAAAGGCACCAGCCCGGCCAGGCUCAGCAGGAGGCAGCAGCGUGGCCCGCCCUGGCUGCUGUUGUGGGCAGCUGGUGGGGGCUGAGGGGCUGGUCAGGUGGCCUGCCCCAGAAGCCCCGGGGAACACCCACCUGUUGCUCCCUAACAGGCUCACUGACAGCCCACCUGCUCAACAGGGCAGGCCCAGGGGAUGGAGCCACCCGGAAUCCUGCAGAGGGAAAAGGAAUCAGAUCCAGUAGCAACCCUGGCCAUGGUCCCCGCAGGCAGUGGGAAGUGGCCAAUGCCUGUGGAGCCGAGGUGUGGGUUUGGGAUUGGGAGGGGACAAGCAGCAGAACUCACCCCCUCCCCCAGUGAAGUGGGCGGCCUCUCCCAGCCCCCUCAUGAGCCCCUUCCCCGCUCAGGGUUUCAGAGGCUUGGAGCCUGCCUCUGAAGCCCAUCAGACCGGAUUUGGAUCUACCUGUGAUCAGCUUUGCUGCCUGCGGCUCCACUUGCACCAGGCUAUCAGCAGAGAGCUGGAUUGGAAAAAGAACAGCCAGGGUGUGAACCAGCGCCCACUUGGGAUGCCAGCAUUUCAGGCAGCAGCUUUACCGACCAAACCACCUGGAUGAAGCUCCUGGCUCCUGGCUUCUGGCUUCAGCCCGGCCCAGCCCUGACUGUCUGGAGGGUAAAGCAGCAGAUGGAAGAUUCUCUCUCUCUCUUUCUCUCUCUCUCUCUCUUUGGGUCUCUCUCUUUCUGUCUCUCCCUGGGUCUACUUCUCUUUCAAAUAAAAAAAGCAACAACUAUUUUGCGUCCUGAUUCACACGGCUCACAAUGUGCUCAGAGCGUAUAAUUUACUGGUGGUUGCGAUAGCCGCAGAGCUGUGGACUCAGCACCACAGUAAGUCUAGAAUAGUUUCCUCACCCCAGAAAGAAACCCCAUGGCCCUGGCGGUCGUCCUCUGCUCCCCACCUCGUCCCCAGCUCUAGGCAACCGUUAACUGCCCCCCACCCCGCCCCCACAUUUGCCUGCUGUGGGCCUCGUGUGUGAAGGGAGUCUUCACCAUCGAGUAGGAUUCCACCGUGUGGUUGCGCCCCUUGUCAGGAUACACGGCAGGUGCCUUCCGUCCGUCUUGACUGACAUGGUGCAAUGGUGCACAAGCCUUGUGUGGACAUGUUUGAUUCUCCGUGUACAUGUGUGGGCCUGGAAUAGGGUCACGUGGCCACUGAUUUCAGCCGUUUCCACAGCUGGUAGCCUGGCCUUAGGUACCGGUCAGCGGUGAGGGAGAGGCUCCCAACUUCUCCGCAUCUGUGUACACUUACCAGUCUGUCCUGUGACGUUAGCCGUCCUGUGGGUGCAAAGCGGUAGCUGGCU